AUCACCUUGGCGCAGUGGAAGCGGUACGAUCCUUUGCCUCCUAACACAAUUAUGAUCCUCAUUCUAACUUAUAAAUAGCGUCGGGCUCAUACGCUACAAGCGACCCGAAGGUCUCAAGAUCGAAACUUGAAGGUGAUA